UAAUACGUAGGAUCCGAGCGUUGUCCGGAAUUACUGGGUGUAAAGGGCGUGUAGGUGGGUCUCUAAGUCGGUGGUGAAAUCUUGCAGCUUAACUGUAAAAUUGCCAUCGAUACUGGAGGUCUUGAGUACGGCAGAGGGAAAUAGAAUUCAUGGUGUAGCGGUGAAAUGUGUAGAUAUCAUGAAGAAUACCGGUAGCGAAGGCGGUUUCCUGGUCCGUAACUGACACUGAGGCGCGAAAGCGUGGGGAGCAAACAGGAUUAGAUACCCUGGUAGUCCACGCCUUAAACGAUGAAUACUAGGUGCUGGGCCGUAAGGUUCAGUGCCAAAGCUAACGCAUUAAGUAUUCCACCUGGGGAGUACGAUCGCAAGGUUG
rnacentral:rRNA from 1 species